rnacentral:rRNA from 1 species
GUCGAUAUCGGAUGGUUCGAGUUUUUCAGCAGAUAGAGUUUGAUCAUGGCUCAGGACGAACGCUGGCGGCGUGCCUAAUACAUGCAAGUCGAACGCUUCUUUUUCCACCGGAGCUUGCUCCACCGGAAAAAGAGGAGUGGCGAACGGGUGAGUAACACGUGGGUAACCUGCCCAUCAGAAGGGGAUAACACUUGGAAACAGGUGCUAAUACCGUAUAACAAUCGAAACCGCAUGGUUUUGAUUUGAAAGGCGCUUUCGGGUGUCGCUGAUGGAUGGACCCGCGGUGCAUUAGCUAGUUGGUGAGGUAACGGCUCACCAAGGCCACGAUGCAUAGCCGACCUGAGAGGGUGAUCGGCCACAUUGGGACUGAGACACGGCCCAAACUCCUACGGGAGGCAGCAGUAGGGAAUCUUCGGCAAUGGACGAAAGUCUGACCGAGCAACGCCGCGUGAGUGAAGAAGGUUUUCGGAUCGUAAAACUCUGUUGUUAGAGAAGAACAAGGAUGAGAGUAACUGUUCAUCCCUUGACGGUAUCUAACCAGAAAGCCACGGCUAACUACGUGCCAGCAGCCGCGGUAAUACGUAGGUGGCAAGCGUUGUCCGGAUUUAUUGGGCGUAAAGCGAGCGCAGGCGGUUUCUUAAGUCUGAUGUGAAAGCCCCCGGCUCAACCGGGGAGGGUCAUUGGAAACUGGGAGACUUGAGUGCAGAAGAGGAGAGUGGAAUUCCAUGUGUAGCGGUGAAAUGCGUAGAUAUAUGGAGGAACACCAGUGGCGAAGGCGGCUCUCUGGUCUGUAACUGACGCUGAGGCUCGAAAGCGUGGGGAGCAAACAGGAUUAGAUACCCUGGUAGUCCACGCCGUAAACGAUGAGUGCUAAGUGUUGGAGGGUUUCCGCCCUUCAGUGCUGCAGCUAACGCAUUAAGCACUCCGCCUGGGGAGUACGACCGCAAGGUUGAAACUCAAAGGAAUUGACGGGGGCCCGCACAAGCGGUGGAGCAUGUGGUUUAAUUCGAAGCAACGCGAAGAACCUUACCAGGUCUUGACAUCCUUUGACCACUCUAGAGAUAGAGCUUCCCCUUCGGGGGCAAAGUGACAGGUGGUGCAUGGUUGUCGUCAGCUCGUGUCGUGAGAUGUUGGGUUAAGUCCCGCAACGAGCGCAACCCUUAUUGUUAGUUGCCAUCAUUCAGUUGGGCACUCUAGCAAGACUGCCGGUGACAAACCGGAGGAAGGUGGGGAUGACGUCAAAUCAUCAUGCCCCUUAUGACCUGGGCUACACACGUGCUACAAUGGGAAGUACAACGAGUCGCGAAGUCGCGAGGCUAAGCUAAUCUCUUAAAGCUUCUCUCAGUUCGGAUUGCAGGCUGCAACUCGCCUGCAUGAAGCCGGAAUCGCUAGUAAUCGCGGAUCAGCACGCCGCGGUGAAUACGUUCCCGGGCCUUGUACACACCGCCCGUCACACCACGAGAGUUUGUAACACCCGAAGUCGGUGAGGUAACCUUUUUGGAGCCAGCCGCCUAAGGUGGGAUAGAUGAUUGGGGUGAAGUCGUAACAAGGUAACCGUAUCUCUCUAGCAGUCUCUACAUAAAGG